rnacentral:rRNA from 1 species
AUUGAACGCUGGCGGCAGGCCUAACACAUGCAAGUCGAGCGGAAGAAGGGAGCUUGCUCCUGGAUUCAGCGGCGGACGGGUGAGUAAUGCCUAGGAAUCUGCCUGGUAGUGGGGGAUAACGUCCGGAAACGGGCGCUAAUACCGCAUACGUCCUGAGGGAGAAAGUGGGGGAGCUUCGGACCUCACGCUAUCAGGUGAACCUAGGUCGGAUUAGCUAGUUGGUGGGGUAAAGGCCUUCCUAGGCGACGAUCCGUAACUGGUCUGAGAGGAUGGUCAGUCACACGGGAACUGAGACACGGUCCAGGCUCCUACGGGAGGCAGCAGUGGGGAAUAUUGGACAAUGGGCGAGAGCCUGAUACAGCCAUGCCGCGUGUGUGAAGAAGGUCUUCGGAUUGUAAAGCACUUUAAGUUGGGAGGAAGGGCAGUAAGUUAAUACCUUGCUGUUUUGACGGUACCAACAGAAGAAGCACCGGCUAACUUCGUG